CUGUCAUUUACCUAAGAGUGUGUGUGAGAAGACAAAUGAAGUCAUCUAAACGGCUCUGCAUUGUGCCUGGCAGAUAAUAAGUGCUUAAUAAAUAUACACUUACUUCAUCCCUCCUUCUUUCCUUCAUCUGGCCAUAGGUUCUCAGUGUGAUCAAUAAGGAUCUGUCAUCAACCCUGGCUACAGGAAGGAAGGUGCACUAAAUAUUUCAAGGAGUGAGUUUCAAGGUAUAUUGUCUCCUUUAGAAGAGUUUCCUUGGACAUCCCAGCAGAACCGUCACUCCCUCUUCUGUGUAUCCACAGGCCCUGUACCUUCUUCUACCAUGGUAUGUUCAAUGUUGUGUGUUUUUGUGCUUGGAUAACUCCCCAAAUGCCCUGCAAAAACUGUGUCUGGUUCAUCUUUAUUAUAUUCCUGAUAACUAGCUCAGUACCCUGGCACAUAAUAGAAGCCCAAUAAAAGUUUACCAACCUCUCCCCAGCUUUGGAUCUUAGAAUAAACACACCACUGAGUCAAUGUCACAAAGAUUGUUCACAACACCAUUAUCCAGGGUAUAUAUGGAGGUUCUCGUUAAUAAGGGUUUGUGGUCCAAAGGACAGUUUAUUUAAAACAAACGUGAUGAGGUAUAGGAAGAAGAAAAGAAGGAGAACAAUUCUAACAUAAAAACACAGGAAGCAUCUCAAACUUAAAAAAGCAAAAAGGAGUGGGGGCAAUGGAGGAAGCUAUGUCUCAUACAAACUGCUGACCUCAAUUGAUUACUUACAUCCAAACCUUACAAAAUAGCAUUUCAAGUCAGCACUUAAGCCAGUGUUAUUAGAUUUUCUUACAAAAAGUUAAAGCUACAAACUUCACAUUUUUAAACUGUACAUAGCAACAGCAUUUAAGCUUUUUUUUUUUCCAAGUUGGUCCGAGUGCAAGCUGGUAAAAGAGAUUUUUUUUCCAAACACAAACAAGAACAUGUAUUCCAAAGACAAUGAAUAUAAUACUGAUAAAAACACAAACAUAGUGCUUAAGAAAAGAUGGGAUGAGGUGGAGAUGUAGAUUGGGCAGGAACAAUUUUCUAGUAAAUAAGGAGCUGCAAUCUUUAGAGGCAACAUGGUAUGCUAGAAAGGACACUGGAAUAAGAAUCAGAAGACCUGGAUCUGAAUCCUGGCUCUGCCAUAUUCUAGCCACAUGACCUUGAAUAAUAGACUUUACUUCUCUGAGCCUCAAUUUUCACAUCUGUAAAAUGAGGAUAAUAAUACCUGUAUGUCCCAGCACUAUUAAGUUUCUAUAGAUAUAGGGCUAUUCAGAUUAUCUACUUCUUCUUUUUUUUUGAGACAGGGUCUCAUUCUGUCACCCAGGCUAGAGUGCAGUGGUGAGACCAUGGCUCACUGCAGCCUUGACCUCCCUGGGCUCAGGUGAUCCUCCCACUUCAGCCUCCUGACAAGCUGGGAUUACAGGUGUGCACCACCAUGCCCGACUAAUUUUUUUUUUUUUUUGAUGUUUUGUAGAGAUGGGAUUUUGCCAUGUUGCUCAGGCUGGUAUCUAUUUCUUCUUGAAUGAAUUUUGGUACUUUUUAUUUUUCAAGGAAUUUGUUUAUGAUGUUGAAGUUGUUAAAUUUAUUAGCAUAAAAUUAUUCAUAAUAUUCUAUUGGCUUUUUAAUACCCAUAGGAUGUAUCACGAUGUCGCUUCUCUCCUUCCUGAUAUUGAAAAGACUUACUAAGUUUUAAAUGGUAUAAAUUUCUGGCAUCUGGCAGGUGCUAAAUAAAUGUUUCCUGGAUCGAAAUCUACAGUCUCAAGGAGUCAAGGCUACAAUUCUUAAGUUGCUUCAGAUGACUGGUUCUAUCUAUUUAUCAAUACAUCUAUCGAUCCACUCAUCCACUCAUCCAUGCAUCCUCCCACCCUUCCUCUUCCCCGUCAAACAUUCAUCCAUCCAAUUGGUGGCUUGGGGAAAGGGACAAAAAGGGGAAAAAAAAAAAAAGGAACGUGCUUCAAAAUUACUGAUGGAGCAAUUAAAACAGUCUUAAAGAAUUCUGAGAUUUUUGGCCAGGCAAGGUGGCUCACACCUGUAAUCCCAGCACUUUGGGAGGCCGAGGCGGGUGGAUCACAAGGUCAGGAGUUCAAGACCCACCUGGCUAAUAUGGUGAAACCCUGUCUCUACUAAAAAUACAAAAAUUAGCCGGGCGUGGUGGCGCAGCGCCUGUAGUGGCAGCUACCUGGGAGGCUGAGGCAGGAGAAUUGCUUGAACCUGGGAGGCGGAGGUUGCAGUGAGCCGAGAUGGCGCCACUGCACUCCAGCCUGGGCGGCAGAGUGAGACUCCGUCUCAAAAAAAAAAAAAACAAACAAACAAAAAAAGAAUUCUGAGAUUUUUUUUUUUAAAGACAGAAUCAGGUCAUUGUUUCUUGAAGGCAGAGAACAAGCGAGGACGUCAAAUUUCUCUGGAAGCUCGAGUUCCAAAUGCUCAAGCAAUGACGGAAGCCCAAGGCUCAUUGAAAGCAAGCUGAUAUAUCUUAAAUUUAGUAUUCAACAACAACAACAACAACAAAAACUAGGACUUGCUCCUUUGCCUUUCUGUCACUAGAAAACAAAUAUACCUUGUCAGGAAAUUUCUCUGAUCCAAAACAAAUUGACUUCUGGCCAAAAGGCUCCAUCAAGCUAGACUGGUAAGCAAUAGACUUUGUUGGAUCAGCAAGCUGGGUGCACAUAUGCCUGAAACAAAACAAACUCCAGAUCAAAGUUCAUGACCCAAGAAUAGUUAUGGGGGAAAACUGAACUUUCUUUUAUUUGGAUCUAGCUUAGGAAGGGAGAAAAUGGGCUUUCUCCUCCUCUCUGGCCAAGUGCAAAGUUCUUUGUUUAAAAAAGAAAGAGAGGCCAGGAGCGGUGGCUCAUGCCUGUAAUCCCAGCAGUGUGGGAGGCUGAGGCGGGUGGAUCACCUGAGGUCAGGAGUUCAAGACCAGCCUGACUGACAUGGUGAAACCCCGUCUCUACUACAAAUACAAAAAAAUAAUCUGGGCAUGGUGGCAUAUGCUGUAAUCCCAGCAGAAGAAUCGCUUGAACCCAGGAGGCGGAGGUUGCAGUGAGCCAAGAUCGUGCCAUUGUACUCCAGCCUGGGCGACAAGAGCAAAAAUCCAUCUCAAAAAAUAAAAAGAAAAAAGAAAGAGAGAGAGAGACAGAACUAUUAAUUCGCACAGCAAAUGGUGCAGGGGUGUGCAUCCUGGAUGCUUUGGUUUUUAAAACUUACUUG
rnacentral:lncRNA from 1 species